rnacentral:rRNA from 1 species
CUUGGUCAUUUAGAGGAAGUAAAAGUCGUAACAAGGUUUCCGUAGGUGAACCAGCGGAGGGAUCAUUACCGAGUUUACAACUCCCAAACCCAAUGUGAACGUUACCAAACUGUUGCCUCGGCGGGAUCUCUGCCCCGGGUGCGUCGCAGCCCCGGACCAAGGCGCCCGCCGGAGGACCAACCAAAACUCUUUUGUAUACCCCCUCGCGGGUUUUUAUAUCUGAGCCAUCUCGGCGCCUCUCGUAGGCGUUUCGAAAAUGAAUCAAAACUUUCAACAACGGAUCUCUUGGUUCUGGCAUCGAUGAAGAACGCAGCGAAAUGCGAUAAGUAAUGUGAAUUGCAGAAUUCAGUGAAUCAUCGAAUCUUUGAACGCACAUUGCGCCCGCCAGUAUUCUGGCGGGCAUGCCUGUCCGAGCGUCAUUUCAACCCUCGAACCCCUCCGGGGGGUCGGCGUUGGGGAUCGGCCCUUUACGGGGCCGGCCCCGAAAUACAGUGGCGGUCUCGCCGCAGCCUCUCCUGCGCAGUAGUUUGCACACUCGCAUCGGGAGCGCGGCGCGUCCAUUGCCGUAAAACACCCAACUUUCUGAAAUGUUGACCUCGGAUCAGGUAGGAAUACCCGCUGAACUUAAGCAUAUCAAUAAGCGGAGGA